UACGAAGGGGGGCUAGCGUUGUUCGGAUUUACUGGGCGUAAAGCGCACGUAGGCGGAUCGUUAAGUCGGGGUGAAAUCCUGGAGCUCAACUCCAGACUGCCUUCGAUACUGGCGCUCUUGAGUCCGGAAGAGGUGAGUGGAACUCCGUAGUGUAGAGGUGAAAAUUCGUAGAUAUUAGGAAAGAACACCAGUGGCGAAGGCGGCUCACUGGCCCGGUACUGACGCUGAGGCGCGAAAGCGUGGGGAGCAACAGGA
rnacentral:rRNA from 1 species